UACGGGGGGGCAAGCGUUGUUCGGAAUUACUGGGCGUAAAGGGCGCGUAGGCGGUUUGCUAAGUCGGAUGUGAAAACUCUGGGCUCAACCCAGAGCCUGCAUCCGAAACUGGCAGGCUAGAGUUCUGGAGGGGGUAGCGGAAUUCCUGGUGUAGCGGUGAAAUGCGUAGAGAUCGGGAGGAACACCAGAGGCGAAGGCGGCUAGCUGGACAGUAACUGACACUCAACU
rnacentral:rRNA from 1 species